rnacentral:misc_RNA from 1 species
UUAUUAUGAUGGGUAAAGAAUACAUGAUGAGCUUUGCUUUGAAUCCGUAGAAUGACCGAUUAGGUACAACUUUGGCUCUUUGGGUAAGAUUCAAGACAAGGGCUGUCAAACAAAACCCUUGACAAAUAGCAAUACAAUUUUGUUUAUUUCUUUCUAUAAGCGAUCAUGUUCAUGGGCAGACCUAGCUUCUGUAAUGGCGAUUUUUUUAAUAGUAUUUCAAUGCUUGGCAGACCUCAUGUCGCUUUCGUUCUAUGAGGGCUGGGACACAAGAGUCACCAUAUGGGUCUGCUAUUGCUCGUGCUGCCAAAAUGAUCCCGAUCACCCAACCC